ACGGGACAGCGAGUCCGUAUGGACGAAGUGGAUAAUCCUAUGCUGCCGAGAAAAACCUCUAGCGAGCUAUGCGCCGCCCGUACCCCAAACCGACUCAGGUGAUCAAGUAGAGAAUACUAAGGCGAUCGAGAGAACCAUGGUUAAGGAACUCGGCAAAAUGCCCCCGUAACUUCGGGAGAAGGGGGGCCUGAUUUGUUAUUGCACUUGCUGCAAAAAGCAAUGAUGGCCGCAGAGACCAGGCCCAAGCGACUGUUUACUAAAAACACAGGUCCGUGCGAAGUUGUAAGACGAUGUAUACGGACUGACUCCUGCCCGGUGCUGGAAGGUUAAGGGGACGGGUUAGCACGCAAGUGCGAAGCUCAGAACUUAAGCCCCAGUAAACGGCGGUGGUAACUAUAACCAUCCUAAGGUAGCGAAAUUCCUUGUCGGGUAAGUUCCGACCUGCACGAAUGGAGUAACGACUUGGGCGCUGUCUCAACCGUGGACUCGGCGAAAUUGCAAUACGAGUAAAGAUGCUCGUUACGCGCGGCAGGAC
rnacentral:rRNA from 1 species